rnacentral:rRNA from 1 species
CUACGGUGAAUACGUCCCCGGACCUUGUACACACCGCCCGUCAAGCCAUGGAAGCUGGGUGUACCUAAAGUCGGUAACCGUAAGGAGCCGCCUAGGGUAAAACUAGUAACUGGGGCU